rnacentral:lncRNA from 1 species
CCGCCUUCUAUUAUACUUCUAUAGCUUUUCCAGGUUAAAAAAGUUUGAUUCAUUAAUCCAUAAUGCUCAAGGCUUCUUAAAAAAAUUUAUAGUUGGAGUUUCAGCUAAUAAGGAGUCUGUUGCAACUAGAAUUAAUGUUAAAACUAGUGAACAUUUCCCACCACCUCCCAGCAAUUUUUGUUUUUUCCGCCAUGGCUCCAAUUUUAAAUCAUCUCUCUCUCAUUGUCCCUGUAGUGCAUCUGAAUUUGUAAAAUCCCGUAUUCCCCCUUCUUGUUUGGGAAAAUGCUAUAUAGUUACUAAAGCUGAGAGCUCUUGCCUGCAAAUAACAGAAACCCCAAGUCAAACAGAUUUUUUUUUUUUUUUGUCUUUUUAGGGCUGCACCGAUGGCAUAUGAAGGUCCCCAGGCUAAGGGUCUAAUCGGAAACUGCAGCUGCUGGCCUAUGCCACAGCCACAGCAACGUUGGAUCCAAACUGCAUCUGCAAACUGCACCACAGUUCACAGCAGUGUGGGAUCCUUAACCUACUGAGCAAGGCCAAGGAUCAAACCUGCAUCCUCAUGGAUGGUAGUUGAUUCGUUUCUGCUGAGCCAUGACAGAAACUCCCAAAUAGAUUUUAACAUGAAGAAAAAGUAAUGGCUCAUGCAAUUGAAACAUUCGGAUGUAGGUUUCAGGUAGGGUUUGAUCUUGCUUCAUUUCUUUGAGACUAUCUUGGCUCUGAAGUCUUCAGAAAUCUCAAUCAUCAUGCUAGAUUUUCCUCAUGAGAACUGUGGUAGAUGCUAAUCGAUUCUGGGAGAAUAUUCAGCUCAAUCCAUGAUAGCCCAGCUAUGGCUACUUUUCCAAGACUCCUUGCAGCUGGGUGUGAACACAUGACCAGAUAUGGACAAUAGGAUGUGAGCAUCUUGAACUGUGCCUUAACCACAAUGUGGGAAAGAAACACUCAUAUUUUGUUUAAACCACUAUUGUUUAGAGCAGACAUCUAGGACCCCUGGGGUCCCUGAGACCAUUUUAUUGGAUCCCUGGCAUUUGUGAUAACACUGUUGUAGGCUGAAUAAUGAUCCCCUAGACAUGUCAACAUUCUAAUUCCUAGAACUGGAAUUCCCUGGAUGCUCAGUGGGUUCAAAAUCCAGCAUGAUUACUACUGUGGUGCUGGUUUGAUCCCUGGCUCAGGAACUUCCACAUGCUGCAGGUGUGGCAAAAAAAGAAAAGGACUUUUCAAAUGUGAUUAGGUUAAGGAAUUGAGAUGAGAAGAUUACUUUGGAUUAUCCAGGUGAGACUGAUAUAAUCACUGAGGAAACAAGAGAGCAGCGUUCGGUCCCUCCGAGGAGAAGCUGUGAGGACACAACCUUUCUGGCUUUGAAGAUGGGAGGAGGGAGUUACAAGCCCCCAUGCCAAGGAAUGUGGACAACCUCUAGCGGCUGGCAAGGCAAGGAAAUGGGUCCCCUCUAGAGCCUCAAGAAGGAGCCAUCUCUGAUGACACCAGGUCUUUAGCCCAGUGAAACUGAUGUUGGACUUCCGACCUCAGACAUAAGGUACAGUUUGUACUGUUUUAAGUAGCUAAGUUUAUGUUGAUUUGCUACAAAAACAACUGGAAACCAAUACAAAUACAUUAUCAUUGUUUGCUUUUAUCCCAAGCAUACAGUGGAGUUUUCUGGAGAUCAGAUGAUGUGUUAUCAGGGCAGAUCGAAUACAUCAGCCAACAGAAUCCAGCUGUCUUUUAUGAAGCUGAAUACUAAAGAGGUUCCCAAAAUAUGAAAACAAUGCCACUCUUCUUACUAAUUUUUUUGUUUUGUUUUGGAAAAUUUAGGGUUUUUUUUUUUCCUUCUUUUUUUUAGGACCACACGUGUGGCAUAUGGAAGUUCCAGGGCUAGGGAGUCAAACCAGCUGCAGCUGCUGGCCUGCACCAUAGCCAUGGCAACACAGGAUCCUUAACCCACUGAGUGAGGCCAGAGAUCAAACCCACAUCCUCAUAGAUCCUAGUUAGGUUCGUUACUGCUGAGCCGCCAUGUGAACUCCCAGAAAAUUUGGGCUUUUUUUUUUUUUUUUGUUAAAGCUAUGUUCUUUAUAUCAAUCUGGACAAAGUCUUUUUAUUGCCAUUUGAAAUGAGUUAAUAGUUUUCAGAUUCUCAGUUUUAAUUUCUGAUAUAGUAUAUAUUGAUAAUUAUAACCCACAUAAAUAAAAGCUCUUUGUGGCCCUCCAUCAUUUUUUAUAAGAGUGCAAAAUGGUCCUUAAGCCAUGAAAUUUUGAGAACCACCAAGGCAUCCUAAGAAAUCUAGUAUCAAAAUUGGCUGCUGCCAUUUUAAGUCGCAAGCUUAGUCCCCAUACUAUACAAAGGAAAGAGAGAGCUUUUCCCCAAAAACAUUACAUAGAAGCCCCAGCUUUUAUUCUGAUUGAACCACUUUAGGAUCUUUGCCUCCUCUUGGACCAAUCAUGCUGACAAGGGGCCGGAUUACCCUGCAGUAAUCAAAACCCAGGCCUGGAGCUGAACCUGGGCUCAGUCUCCCUUAACUUGAGUGGUUGCUACCCAGUGGGAGAAAGGACAAGCGGAUGCUGGGAAGUCAGCCAACAUCAUCCAUCAUGGUUCCCAUAGAGAAUAAUCAUGAUGAUGACAGCAAACAUGCAGCACAUCCUGCCAGGCUCAGCUCUAAGCCCUCAAUUCUCACAGCCACUCAGUGAGGAAGGUACUAUUAUUAUCACUUACUAUAACAUGUGAUAAACCCUCUGCCCCCACUUCAGCCCAGAAACACGCUUGAAGAGUAUGAACGUGUUUCGCUUUGUUGAGAUUUUGACUGAAGCUUUACCAUGAGCAUAUUCCAGCAAUAAAGUGUAAUGGUUUAGAAGACAGGCUAUGGGGUUGGACAAAUUUACUUACACUAAGCUCAGAUUUUGACUGAUAAAGAGAAUUUUUUUAACUUAUAACCUAUAUGAUAGCCUUGAUAAUAUCUCAUGCUAUUUGUUAGUGGGGGAAAUUCUAUUUUAGUCUAAUUAAAUAGUCUCUUUAGGUUACAUGUUCUGUGAGAUUUCUGGGCCCUUCCCCCAGGUAGUGCUAUGUGUUUUGGGGGACUGGGUGUGGAGGAGUGUGAUGGGGUGUCUGUGGUGGGGAAUGGUGAGAUCCUCAGAGCCACAGCCUGGACUGACCAUUGCCAGUGGUGACUGGGCCAGCCUCCGGAAAUUCCUCCAGGGUCUGCAGCUGAGGUUGGGCAGAGGUCUCUCUCUGCUUGGGUAGGGGUCCUUUCCACACCAGCACCUCAACUCUACCUUGGUCUUCUCUGGGUCUGAGGAUUCUUUGGGUACCAACAUUUGUGGCAAAUUCCUCAAUCAAGUCUCUAAACUCUUGUCCAUAAGAUACACCCCUCUCCUCCAGAUCAGAUAUCUCCCAUGAGAACUGAUGAGGCCAUCUCUCUGCCCCACCAGGCUGCCUUCUGAAUUGACCUCAACAUGGUGGCCUCCGUGUUGGUGCAGGGCCCUUCAUGGGCCGUUCCUGUCCAGAGUCCUCAGCAGAGAGCAGGGCAGAAACCCCUCAAGUUUAGACUUUGUUUUCACCUUCUCUACCCCUACUCCUCUCAAGGGCAUGGGCCCAGAGAGGGAAGACUGGGACACAGCUCUCUCCCUGCCUCUCUCACUCUGCCCUUCUCUCCACAGGCCAGUGAGAGGAGAGAGAUGCUUCUGUUUUAUGACACAUUUCUUCUGUAAAAGUCUAUGAUCAGGUCUUCCAGAUAUGGUUCUUGAUAAAGGAAGAGAGAAGAGAAUUUAGAAAAGUCCUUUUCGCUGUUGAAGAAGCCUGAUUUUCAAGCCUAUUGUCUUGCUAAGGAAUUGAAAGUCUGAUUUUGGAUGUUAGAAGCUGAAUAUUAACUCUUAUCUGUCCCUCUCUUAGGCUUUCCAGUUAUAACCAUCCAAAACUUACAUUCUCACCUGUUACAUUCCUGUCCCAGGAUUCCUUAGGUGCUCCAGGGGGAAGGUUGAAUACAUCAGAGAGAAAAGUAUACAACAUGAAAAUAGGUAUGUGGGGAAAAAAAGGGCACACUCAUUCACUUAAUAAGGUUCCCCCGUGACACGGACACAACUAGCUUAGAAUCCUGGCUCUGUUACCUAUAAGUUUUCUACCCAUGAGUAGGUUAGUCUCUCUAAGUUUUGGCUUCUUUAUUUAUUGUGCAGAGAAAAACAAUAGGUAUCUGGCUUACAGAUUUCUUCUGAGGGCAAAAUGAGGUGAUUUGCAUAAAGCACUUAGUAGAGUGCCUGCCACAUACGACAUGUUCAUAAUUGUCAUUAUACUAUUACUGCAUAUGUUUAGCACAUGCCUGUCAAUCCCAUUUGAAUACUCCCCCAAUAGACCCUUGCCCUGUGAACAUACAUGUUGAUGAUUCUCUAUAUAUUGUUCUUGAAUUUGCCAUUUAGUCUCUGCUCGGGCUUAUGUUGAACUAAACGGUUACUGUGGAAAAACAUUACUCAGUGACUUGUUAAGGCACUUUGCCAAGCACAUUGCUUCCUAACAGCUCCUUCCAGGUCUUACAGACUGCAAAAUAAGAUCUCUGCAUCUUCAGGGACAUCUUUAUCAGCUGGAGGUGGUCCUUCUUUUCUUUAAGCUGCGGAGAAGCUAGAUUGGAAAGAAAAGAAGGAAGGAGGAGUUCCCUUGUGGCAUAGCAGGUUAAGGACCCAGUGUAAUCACUGCAGUGGUUCAAGUCACUGCUAUGGCAUGGGUUCAGUACCUGCCCCAGG